rnacentral:rRNA from 1 species
UACGGGGGGGGCAAGCGUUGUUCGGAAUUACUGGGCGUAAAGGGCGCGUAGGCGGCCUGCUAAGUCGGACGUGAAAUCCCUCGGCUCAACCGGGGAACUGCGUCCGAUACUGGCGAGGCUUGAAUCCGGGAGAGGGAUGUGGAAUUCCAGGUGUAGCGGUGAAAUGCGCAGAUAUCAGGAGGAACACCGGUGGCGAAGGCGGGUCUCUGGGCCGAUACUGACGCUGAGGAGCGAAAGCGUGGGGAGCGAACAGG